rnacentral:rRNA from 1 species
UACGAGGGGGGCGAGCGUUGUUCGGAAUUAUUGGGCGUAAAGCGUGCGCAGGCGGUUUUGCAAGACAGAUGUGAAAUCCCCGGGCUCAACCUGGGAACUGCAUUUGUGACUGCAAGGCUAGAAUCUGGCAGAGGGGGGUAGAAUUCCACGUGUAGCAGUGAAAUGCGUAGAUAUGUGGAGGAAUACCGAUGGCGAAGGCAGCCCCCUGGGCUAAGAUUGACGCUCAUGCACGAAAGCGUGGGGAGCAAACAGG